rnacentral:lncRNA from 1 species
CCAUCUGUGCCUGGCACAUGAGCCAGCAACUCAGAGGGACGGGACAGGUCGAGGCUGACGGGGGUUGUUCAAAGGCGCCUGCAGCUCCAGCCUCAGAAUCGAGUCCUCCCCAAGCCGCUGAUGCCUGCCUGCAAGAUGCUGUGUCUGGCAGGCACCUCCAGGGCUGGCGGGUGCCGUGCUGGCCAGGCACAGGCAGGGAACCAGAGCAGCCUGAGCCGGGUGGCUGUGUCCCCUGUUCUGGCUCCGGGGUGGCCGUCACAGUCUGGAAUGCGGCUCCUCCUGUGGGCCCACUCAGCCGCCGGGAAGAAAAGCCCCCUGCAGGCCUGGAACCUGCACAGGGUCAAGGGUCACUCCACACCUGGUCAGGGCCCAGGGCACUGGCUCCGGCCUCGGAGCAAACACGUCGGACCCUCCCCCAGAGAACCAGCAUCCCCCCAGGCACGCGGCCCCCGCCCCAGCUCCGUUUGGAAGCGGGCCCAGCCCUGGUGGCAGCAGGAAGACAUCCCGCCUGAACUUCAUCAGGGUCCCCGCUCGGAGGGAGCGUCCUGGGCAGUGACAGCCGGGGCGCGAGAGCCACCGGGUCCCGGCUCCUCACCCUGUGAAGGCAGCUGGCCCCACCUCCUCAGCCACACAGCGCAUGGAUGCUGCCACGCUGGCCAGACUCUGGGGACCCCUCUGGGGCUCUGGGUGCAAUCCCCCUUCCUGCCACCCGGCCGCCCUCCGUGUGGACCUGAGCUUUGGAAGAUCCCCCACCCGGUCUCUGCUCACUCCCUCUUCUGCUUUAUCACUGCCGCCUGGUUAACCAGCUCCUACAACCCGCUCAGGGCCCAGGCAGUGGCUCUGCAACUGAGGGUCCCGGCUUCAAGACCCCACUUCCCUCAGACCCCUCACCCUUGUAACCUUCCAGAUGGCGUCUCAGCACCGGCUGGCUAAAAGCAACCACCCACCAGGUAUUCAAGAACUUCUAGAAUCUGAUGUGACCUUAUAGACCAAACCGGCCUCCCUGCUUGGCAACACUGGCACUGCCCCCGUGAGGCCAGCCCCCACCCCCAAUCAUGCCCA